ACCCUUUUUGUGGUUCAUAAGCUUGAUUAUUGGGUUCUCAUGACACUGUAAGAUGUGCCCCCCUCAAACCUCAUUCCAACACCAGCACAUUAUCCAUCUGAGG